GAUGAACGCUGGCGGCGUGCCUAAUACAUGCAAGUCGAGCGAACUUUUGGGAGCUUGCUCCCAAAAGUUAGCGGCGGACGGGUGAGUAACACGUGGGUAACCUGCCUGUAAGACCGGGAUAACUUCGGGAAACCGGAGCUAAUACCGGAUAACAUUGAAGACCUCAUGGCCUUCAAUUAAAAGGUGGCUUUUAGCUACCACUUACAGAUGGACCCGCGGCGCAUUAGCUAGUUGGUGAGGUAACGGCUCACCAAGGCGACGAUGCGUAGCCGACCUGAGAGGGUGAUCGGCCACACUGGGACUGAGACACGGCCCAGACUCCUACGGGAGGCAGCAGUAGGGAAUCUUCCGCAAUGGACGAAAGUCUGACGGAGCAACGCCGCGUGAGCGAAGAAGGCCUUCGGGUCGUAAAGCUCUGUUGUUAGGGAAGAACAAGUAUCGUUCGAAUAGGGCGGUACCUUGACGGUACCUAACCAGAAAGCCACGGCUAACUACGUG
rnacentral:rRNA from 1 species